GCAUUGUAGAGCUUUUUAAUUCAACAUAUUUAUUAGUUUCAUCAUAUGAAUUACUUCAUCGUAGUGAAUUUCCGGAACUUCUCUCGUUUUUCUUUUGUUCAAUCGAUAGCAGAUGUGCGAACGGGUUCCCAUCUUCUUAUUCACGUAUAAACCUCAGAAAUACACCGAUUACGUACACCAAUUCCGAGAUUACACCAAUCAAUCACAAAAAAAAUUUACUCUGUGAUGGAAAAGAAGCUAGGCAGCCGCUAGGCUAUAUCAGCCAGAUGAUGUUCAAGCUGUUUUGUGGUGUUGUUCAAUGUGCAGGAAUUUGCGACCUCUCACGUUGAUGCGAAAGAAAACAUUAGAAGACCCUAUACGAUGUUGUUCUUCCAUUUGGUGACAGCAGCCCAAAAAUGACGCUGAUGGACAUGAACUAAAAAAAAAAAUGUAACGCAAGCAAAAGCACACGUACAUGUCCGUUAUGCUGGCGGGAGAAUUUUUACCUACCAAAACCAAUCACGAUUUGCCUACUGCCUAAUUCAUUGGAGCUCUUUAUGUUCCCAUAUUUGAUCGGUUAUUAUUGAGGUCGUUUCAUCGUCGCCGUUCGUCGCUCUGAAUAGGAAGAAAACGACAAAAGGUGGCAAAUAGAUACAAGUUCCCAUUACUAACCGCGUUUCGACGAAAAAGGCUCGACGUUUUGCUGCUGUUAUCAACGAAAUAAGAUGGUACUCCCUCCGACGAUUCGCUUCUCCACACUUUCACGUUUGCUGUUGUCUUGUGCCCUACUGAGUUUAGUCAUCAGUUCAUCUCCUCCUGCUGACGAUGGAAUUUUUCACAAAGGACUGAAGGAUUGCAAUUCGAGCCAUAUCUCAUGUGAAAGGAAAACGGCAGCUUGACCGGAAGAGUUAGUGUGUGACCAACUUAAGAUAAGGCAACAAAGGAAAGCAAUCGGGUCAAAGAGUUUAGACCUAGGACAUCUACUACACUGAAAUCUGCACGGGAAAAGAUGGCAUCAGAAUAUGCAAUUCUUCUCGCUCCAUCAGUGUGCUACCGCUGGACAUGCCUGUGGUUCCCACGACUUGUCAUUUGCGUAAAUCUUUUGUCUGGAUGACCGAAUCCGAAUCCCACAUGAACAACUCUCACGUAGCCGUGGACAGAUUCUACCGUAAUGUAACCCAGUGCGCCUGUCUCAUGUAGUUGGAUGGUACCAUAUGUUGCAGUAGCUGUUAAACUGGAUUCCCUCAUCAGAACAAGUCGCUAGGCAUAAAUGGUUUGGUUUACAUGUUGCAUCAGGAAUUUCAAUAUCCACGUUGAAAGGAUUUUUUGUUACAAGAAAAUUUAAUUCUGUGAGUUAAUCACCAUCAUUUCAUUCACCACAAAUAAAACUGCAAGUAUAGGCUAUUUUUCUUCAUCUUUAUUGGCACUGCUUACCGAAUCCAGUGGGAAGUGAACUCGAGCAUUCAGUGUCUGACACACCCAACCUGAACCACUGCUGAAGGCCUAAAUAUAUCACUGUUGAAGACAAAUUGUGGCCACUGGAUAUAUCGACGUUGGUUCCGGUGACUGCGGGAUCGUCAGCAAGCAGCCAAGGGUUCACCGGACAUAAAAAUAGAGUUUGAUAACUUUAAAAUCUUUUGACUCUGCUGAUACACAAGCCAACAAUCUUCUAUAACACGAGCCACAAGAUUAUUGGCUCGUCAUCGUUCUAUCUAUACAAACAAUUAAUCAGCACGAUAAAAUACUGCAUAUCACUAUAGCGAUGGCACAGGUAUGCUGUAACUCUUCAAUGGCCGAAGUUUAAAUUCAGCAUUCAACGGUUUGUUACAUAGAAACCCUAAAACUUUUGACAGGAUAAAUUUGUGUCAUCCACUGCUUCGUGAAAAUGUGUUUGAGUGAAACACUGUUCAAAUGUUGACUUUGUUUCCUUUAACUGAUAUUAGUUAUAGGUAUAAAUUGGAUAAUUAUAUAUUUUUAUUAUUUGCAGUGGUCAUAGAUUAUUUCUUACACUCCAUUUGACUCCAGAAUCGAUUUGAAUCAAAGCGCUACCGUUCCGACAUCGAUACUGUAUCGAGGCCGUUCUCUGCGGCAAUAAAUGUUCCAAAGUUGGAAACACAACUUUAAAUUUUUCUAACAUGACAUGUCUCGACUUAACUACAUGCAGCUAGCGUUAUUUUUGCAGCCCACGGGAUAGAUUGCCAUUACGUUGACGACUGGAGCGUCUUUCCAGGUCCUGUUUGCGACCUUUCGGUUUUGUUUAUUGUCAAUGUGAAUGGUCGUUUGAAGAUUUGCCAGGUUCCAGAGAUCUGCUAAAAGAGGGCUACCGUCUUUCUUUCGGUUUCAUCGGUUUCUUUUCAUCAAUCCAAUGAACAACACUGAAAUUCAGACUUCAAUGAAGAAUCUUGGCAGCAAUUCAGUCUAAACUGUGACAAAAUUAUAUUUUACACACAGACAUGGGAACAGUGGGAGACAACAAGAAGGUGCAGUCGGACAUGUGAAAGGAGUAAGAAUUGAACACGGGACAUUUGGAAUCAGCAAACAGUUGCCACAACCAUUACAUCAUUUUCAUUCUUCCAUUUUGGGCGAUCUAAGGACUCGAAACUAUUUUUAAAUGGAUACCUGUCUGCUUGUAUCACUUACGCCGGAGUCCCGUGUUCAAAUUCCUGGCGUAGGCUGUUGUAGAUUCCUUCAGACGUGUUGGUGUGGGAGAUUCGUUCAGGUGUGUAAGUAGGAAAAUUUGUUACAAAUUUUAAGCGUGUUUUUGGAAUUUUUGAGUAUUGAAACACUAGAUCUCACUGAAGGGCGUCAAUUGGUGUCUUAUUUGAUGGGAACUGCAUAGUUAAAGAACUAUCUGUCAAUCGCCCAAUUCCGAUUUGAGGAAUAAAAUUAUUUUGAAAAGUAGAAUUUCCGCUAACUCUAGACUUGAAUUCGAUAGAAAUGACUAUUGACAACAGCCUUUAUGAAGUGCGACGAAUUCCUAUAAAAUGAGAUAUUGAAUUUUCUUAAUUUUAAAGGGAGACGUUCUGGAGAAUAUUUU